CUAAAUCCUCCACCACUCCAUAUUAUACGUUUUUCCAUUGUUUUCUCCAUAUAUACAAUCAGAGAAGACAAAGGCAAGGGAACAUAAAAAAACAGUAAUGAUGACGAAAACACCAAAGCGACAAAGCAUCAUUGAUUUUUAAUGUGUUUUAAACUCUCUCACUUUCAAAGUUUAGAACAUAUUCGGAUAAUUUUUCAUAGUCUCAUCUGAUUGAUCGCAAUCGAUCGUGGUUGGAAUAUAUCCUGCAAUUUGUUUCUUUCUAUUCUCCACUCCAUAGUUUCUCUCCUCCACAAAACAACCUUUUCAUUAGUUCCAAAACAAGUAAAAUGCUUUGCCGGAGUUCAGUCAGAGAAUAUCCAUCCGAUGACACGUCUCCAUCUUCUUACUCAUGUUUAUGCCGAUGUCUCAGCCUCAUUGAUGUUUUCAGUGAAGAAGCAUAAGAAAACAGAAGCAGUAACAACAAAUUGGUGACAUAAUUAACUGGGUAUUGUACCAACUUAUUAUUUCUUUCAUACCAUGAUCUUAAACGGUUUUUUUCGUUAAACUAGUUGAUUUUAAACCUUCUAUGCUUUUUUCUACGAUUAAUUACUUAAUAGGCCAAGAAUUAACACCAGAACAAGGGGGAAAAUUGAAGAAGCUAAAGUCAGAGAUGAAAAGAGGGGAUUGCUUGUUGAUGGGAAAGCAUCGGAAUUUUUAAACUAAAAUUGAUGGGUUGAAACGAUCGAUGAUGGUGGAUUGAAGCGGUGAAGCAUCUAUGAGGAUCGGCGGUGAGAUGUGUCUUUGCAGUCAUGGCGUGGUCGCCUCUCUUUUCGCAUCUGUCUUUGCAGAUCUAAGCCUCCUAGUUUCUCUAGUUAAUUACUUUUGGGCAAGCCACUAGAAUUGCUUUUGGACUAUAAAAUAUAUAUUAUAAUUUUUGGGCUAUCGGGUAAUAUAUGUUUGGGCUGAUAGGCUAUAAAUAAAUUUUGCUCUAUUGUUUAGGAGUGGCAAUUUGAGCUUAAAACCAUUCAAUUCGUCUAAUUCUCCUAGAAAUUAAUGGGUUGGACUACAAAUAUUUAAUUCUUGGGUCUAUUUUGGCUGAGCUCAAGUUAACCCAUUAUUUUUUAUAGCUCAUUCUGACUUGUUAAGUUGCUUAAAUACAACAAAUAAAGCAUCCAAAACAAAGAGAUCUCAACCCAUUAUCUAGAAAUAUAUUUAGUUGAUCCAAUUAUACUUUUUUUAUUUUGUAUUUUUUUGAUAUUCUACACUUCCCACACACCUUACCCC
rnacentral:lncRNA from 1 species